UCCUACGGGAGGCAGCAGUAGGGAAUAUUGGUCAAUGGGCGGGAGCCUGAACCAGCCAGCCGCGUGCAGGAAGACGGCCUUCUGGGUUGUAAACUGCUUUUACACGGGAAGAAAACGCCCAUGCGUGGGUAACUGACGGUACCGUGGGAAUAAGCACCGGCUAACUCCGUGCCAGCAGCCGCGGUAAUACGGAGGGUGCGAGCGUUGUCCGGAUUUAUUGGGUUUAAAGGGUGCGUAGGCGGGCGUUUAAGUCAGCGGUGAAAUCCCACGGCUCAACCGUGGAACUGCCAUUGAUACUGGGCGCCUUGAGUACCGUUGGGGUAGGCGGAAUUUAUGGUGUAGCGGUGAAAUGCAUAGAUACCAUAAGGAACCCCGAUAGCGUAGGCGGCUUACUGAGCGGUAACUGACGCUGAGGCACGAAAGCAUGGGUAGCGAACAGGAUUAGAUACCCUGGUAGUCCAUGCCGUAAACGAUGAUCACUCGAUGUGCGCGAUAUACUGUGCGCGUCCAAGCGAAAGCGUUAAGUGNCNC
rnacentral:rRNA from 1 species